UGAUUUUAGGAGACGUUCCCUCAUGUUGCUGCAAAUGCUCAAGCUCUCAGAGCUGCAGACAGUAGAUACUUCCCUCCAGAGCUCAUCACCGAGAUAGCAGAAGAUGGAUCAACAGAAACUGCAGGAAUCAGAAAAUGACGAGCCAAGAGGACGAGAUUCAUCUGCUGAAGUAGAGAAACAGAUCCCGACACAAGCUCGUCGGAACAGCACUGAUAAAGGCAGGCCAAGCUUUUCCAUUAGUGAAGGUGAAGAUGAAGAAAAAGAAGAUGAUGAUGAAGAAGAAAAAGAUGAAGAGUGAUGAUGAAGAUGCAUAGUCAGCUGUGAGAAUAAGUGUUUAUGAAAA